UAUGGCUGUCGUCAGCUCGUGUCGUGAGAUGUUGGGUUAAGUCCCGCAACGAGCGCAACCCUUGUCGUUAGUUACUACCAUUAAGUUGAGGACUCUAGCGAGACUGCCUGGGUUAACCAGGAGGAAGGUGGGGAUGACGUCAAAUCAUCAUGCCCCUUAUGUGUAGGGCUACACACGUGCUACAAUGGCUGGUACAGAGAGAUGCAAUACCGCGAGGUGGAGCCAAACUUAAAAACCAGUCUCAGUUCGGAUUGUAGGCUGAAACUCGCCUACAUGAAGCUGGAGUUACUAGUAAUCGCGAAUCAGAAUGUCGCGGUGAA
rnacentral:rRNA from 1 species